rnacentral:rRNA from 1 species
UACGUAGGGUGCAAGCGUUGUCCGGAAUUAUUGGGCGUAAAGGGCUCGUAGGCGGUCUGUCGCGUCGGCUGUGAAAACCCGAGGCUCAACCUCGGGCCUGCAGUCGAUACGGGCAAACUAGAGUACUGCAGGGGAGACUGGAAUUCCUGGUGUAGCGGUGAAAUGCGCAGAUAUCAGGAGGAACACCGGUGGCGAAGGCGGCUUCCUGGACCGACACUGACGCUGGAGGCGACGAAAGCUAGGGGAGCAAACGGG